rnacentral:rRNA from 1 species
CACGUAGGUGGCAAGCGUUAUCCGGAAUUACUGGGCGUAAAGCGUGCGCAGGCAGUUGGUUAAGUCUGAUGUGAAAGCCCCGGGCUCAACCUGGGAAUGGCAUUGGAAACUGGCUGGCUAGAGUGUGGCAGAGGGGGGUGGAAUUCCGCGUGUAGCAGUGAAAUGCGUAGAGAUGCGGAGGAACACCGAUGGCGAAGGCAGCCCCCUGGGCUAGCACUGACGCUCAGGCACGAAAGCGUGGGGAGCAAACAGG